GCUAGUAAUCGUAGAUCAGCAUGCUACGGUGAAUACGUUCCCGGGUCUUGUACACACCGCCCGUCACACCACGAGAGUUUGUAACACCCGAAGCCGGUGGAGUAACCAUUUGGAGCUAGCCGUCGAAGGUGGGACAAAUGAUUGGGGUGAAGUCGUAACAAGGUAGCCGUAUCGGAAGGUGCGGCUGGAUCACCUCCUUUCUAAGGA
rnacentral:rRNA from 1 species